rnacentral:rRNA from 1 species
GACGAAGGAUCCAAGCGUUAUCCGGAUUCAUUGGGUUUAAAGGGUGCGUAGGCGGGUUUAUAAGUCAGUGGUGAAAUCCGAUCGCUUAACGAUCGAACUGCCAUUGAUACUGUAGACCUAGAGUAUAGAUGAUGUUGGCGGAAUAUGACAUGUAGCGGUGAAAUGCAUAGAUAUGUCAUAGAACACCGAUUGCGAAGGCAGCUGACAAAACUAUAACUGACGCUGAUGCACGAAAGUGCGGGGAUCAAACAGG